rnacentral:rRNA from 1 species
UGCAGCAACGCCGCGUGAGGGACGACGGCCUUCGGGUUGUAAACCUCUUUUAGCAGGGAAGAAGCGAAAGUGACGGUACCUGCAGAAAAAGCACCGGCUAACUACGUGCCAGCAGCCGCGGUAAUACGUAGGGUGCAAGCGUUAUCCGGAAUUAUUGGGCGUAAAGAGCUCGUAGGCGGUUUGUCGCGUCUGCUGUGAAACCCCGAGGCUCAACCUCGGGCCUGCAGUGGGUACGGGCAGACUAGAGUGCGGUAGGGGAGAUUGGAAUUCCUGGUGUAGCGGUGGAAUGCGCAGAUAUCAGGAGGAACACCGAUGGCGAAGGCAGAUCUCUGGGCCGUAACUGACGCUGAGGAGCGAAAGGGUGGGGAGCAAACAGGCUUAUAUACCCUGGUAGUCCACCCCGUAAACGUUGGGAACUAGUUGUGGGGUCCAUUCCACGGAUUCCGUGACGCAGCUGACGCAUUAAGUUCCCCGCCUGGGGAGUACGGCCGCAAGGCUAAAACUCAAAGGAAUUGACGGGGACCCGCACAAGCGGCGGAGCAUGCGGAUUAAUUCGAUGCAACGCGAAGAACCUUACCAAGGCUUGACAUAUACAAGAACGGGCUAGAAAUAGUCAACUCU